AUACCACCUCAGUGGUCCCCAGCGAGGGCGCUGGAAGAAGGGUUGAGAAGGAGAUGGCCACCAGCGUCCCCUAGAACACCUUUGGGGCUCUGGGGAUCAAAACCUGGGGCUACAGUCCUCUUGGCACAGUCAGUCAAGGUCAUUCCCUGGACAAAUUAUCAGACGCUUGGCCAGGUUCUUGUCACUCUAACCUCAAGCUAGGCCCUUGAUCUUGGCCACAGACUGGCCCUUGACCCCAAUUUUAGGUUUUACUCAGCUCUGCGUCCACAGCACACACACACCCCCCCAGCUCACUCCCUGGCUUGCCCUCUAUGGGGGUGAGUAUGGAACCCCGCAGGGACUCGGCUCUCCCCCCAGAGCCCUACCUAGCCCUAAAUGCAGUCCCAGGUCCCACACCCCAACCCCCCUCCCCUCCACCACUGCCAGUUUCAAACCAGCCCCGCAGUCUACUGGGAAGGAGGUGGGGAAGGAGGGUUCUGAGCAUCUCCCACGCCCAGGGCAUGAGCUCAGCAGCCUCAGGGUUCUGGU